UUUAUUUGCUUUUUUUUGUUUGUUUUGUCUUCUUCUGUUUCGAUGACUCGAUGCCACGUGACGCCACAGCACCUGCAGUACAACAGCUGCUCCGUCAAAGAGUGGGAAAAAGACGAGUUCUUUCAGGUCAGGACUGUUCAAGUGCCGCGGAGCCAGAAGGAGAAGCAGGCUUUAAUUAAAAAUACAACAGGAAGAAAAAAGAUUUCAGUCCAGAAGUGUUGACUGUUCUCAUAUGUCACCCAGACUGGAGCAGGUCAACACUGAAAAAGAAGAAAGUUUCUCUAAUUGCCCAUUUCUGGUUGUCACAACAAUUCACUCAGUCACCAUAAAACCAGACUCCACUUCCCUCUGCCUGUGACGGAGCUCGGAUGAUUGACGGCUUCUGACAGAUGUGUGGGAUGUUGUGUUCGCCCAAGAAUUCCACUUACCUUUUCUCCCCGUUGCCCACCCUGCUGAGACGAGGAUGAGACAAGGAUAUGAGAAUUUCCCGCUUUGUUACAAAUGAAACAACAAGAACUACAGUUGUGUUGAAUGAGAAGCUGCUAUGAUCGUGUUAUUGUUAUGUAUUCUUUAGCAGUUAAAGAUUCACUUCCUGGUCUGUUAGCUUAGCAGCCGUAGCAUUGGCUUAGU